UAAAAGGCAAUGAACAAGAGGAGUAAUUUUAUUUGCUGACUUUGAGAGAAUAGAACAGAUGCUGAGAGUUCUUAGUCACAGUAAAAUGAAGGUAGCUUGGGAGCUGGCAAAGUGAAAGUAAAGUAACUUUGUUCGGAGUAACGAUCCGUUAAAAAUGGAACUAAGAGGUAUACUUUUGAAGAUAGCAGAAGUAUGCAAUAUAGGUGGUACCGCGAGUGAACAGCAUUCGUCCUAAUA
rnacentral:ncRNA from 1 species